GAUGAACGCUAGCGGCAGGCUUAAUACAUGCAAGUCGAGGGGUAGCAAGAUUGUAGCAAUACAAUUGUUGACGACCGGCAAACGGGUGCGGAACACGUACACAACCUUCCUACAAGUGGGGAAUAGCCCAGAGAAAUUUGGAUUAAUACCCCGUAACAUAGCGAUGUGGCAUCACAUUGCUAUUAUAGCUUCGGCGCUUGUUGAUGGGUGUGCGGCUGAUUAGAUAGUUGGCGGGGUAACGGCCCACCAAGUCUACGAUCAGUAGCUGAUGUGACGGCAUGAUCAGCCACACGGGCACUGAGACACGGGCCCGCCGCCUACGGGGGGCAGCAGUAAGGAAUAUUGGACAAUGGGCGCAAGUCUGAUCCAGCCAUGCCGCGUGAGGGAUUAAGGUCCUCUGGAUUGUAAACUUCUUUUAUAAGGGACGAAAAAAGGUCUUUCUAGAUCGUCUGACGGUACCUUAUGAAUAAGCACCGGCUAACUCCGUGCCAGCCGCCGCCGUAAGAC
rnacentral:rRNA from 1 species